GGCAAAGUGACAGGUGGUGCAUGGUUGUCGUCAGCUCGUGUCGUGAGAUGUUGGGUUAAGUCCCGCAACGAGCGCAACCCUUAUUGUUAGUUGCCAUCAUUCAGUUGGGCACUCUAGCAAGACUGCCGGUGACAAACCGGAGGAAGGUGGGGAUGACGUCAAAUCAUCAUGCCCCUUAUGACCUGGGCUACACACGUGCUACAAUGGGAAGUACAACGAGUCGCGAAGUCGCGAGGCUAAGCUAAUCUCUUAAAGCUUCUCUCAGUUCGGAUUGCAGGCUGCAACUCGCCUGCAUGAAGCCGGAAUCGCUAGUAAUCGCGGAUCAGCACGCCGCGGUGAAUACGUUCCCGGGCCUUGUACACACCGCCCGUCACACCACGAGAGUUUGUAACACCCGAAGUCGGUGAGGUAACCUUUUGGAGCCAGCCGCCUAAGGUGGGAUAGAUGAUUGGGGUGAAGUCGUAACAAGGUAGCCGUAUCGGAAGGUGCGGCUGGAUCACCUCCUUUCUAAGGAA
rnacentral:rRNA from 1 species